UGAAAGAUUCAUCGGUGGCGGAUAGGCUCGCGGGACAUUAGCUAGACGGCGGGGCAACGGCCCACCGUGGCGACGAUGUCUAGGGGUUCUGAGAGGAAGACCCCCCACACUGGGACUGAGACACGGCCCAGGCUCCUACGGGAGGCAGCAGUGAGGAAUAUUGGUCAAUGGGCGGAAGCCUGAACCAGCCAUGCCGCGUGAAGGACUAAGGCCCUACGGGUCGUAAACUUCUUUAGACGCAGAGCAAUAAGGUCCACGAGUGGACCGAUGAGAGUAUGCGUAGAAUAAGCAUCGGCUAACUCCGUGCCAGCAGCCGCGGUAAUACGGGGGAUGCGAGCGUUAUCCGGAUUCAUUGGGUUUAAAGGGUGCGUAGGCGGCCGAGUAAGUCAGCGGUGAAAGACCGGGGCUCAACCCUGGAAGUGCCGUUGAUACUGUUUGGCUGGAAUGAUCCCGCCGCGGGAGGAAUGAGUGGUGUAGCGGUGAAAUGCAUAGAUAUCACUCAGAACACCGAUUGCGAAGGCAUCUCGCGAGGGGUCAAUUGACGCUGAGGCACGAAAGCGUGGGGAUCGAACAGGAUUAGAUACCCUGGUAGUCCACGCGGUAAACGAUGAUGGCUAACUGUCGGGCCUGCGGGUUCGGCGGC
rnacentral:rRNA from 1 species